GGAGCAGAGCUAAUGACUGGAAGAGGGGGUGUCUGCUUUACUGCUCAUUAAAAAGAGUGUGCGUUUUUAAUGGACAAUAUAAAUGAGCGUGCGGUUUUAACAGCCAUUCAAUUAUUGUCCAUUUAAAAGAGUACGGCGAGAAGAGUGCAGGCUGUCGUCGUCCCCCCCCCCCUUUCAUAUUAAAAGCUCACCUCUGUAGUUGAAAGAACAAAAAAAAACGGAGGAAGAGGAUACAGAUGUGUGUAGCUAGUCCCAGCAAAACAUGUGGCUUAUUUUCUUGUUGUUCUGUGUGCUCGACUUAAUGGUGAUGGGAAAGCUAAUUCCUUUGAGGGGAAGGUGAGAGAGAGAUGGAGAGAGGCAGAAGAGAGUGGGUCUAAGUGGAAGAGAGAGAGAGGCAGACACAAAAAGACCGACAGGCGCAGCUGAAAGAUCAAGAGGGUCAGGCUUCAGGAGAUUUUAGUUCAGGGAUUCGAGGGAGAUAGAGAUGUUGUUGCGGAGCCCAUUGAAUAACAAAGCCAUCACUGCUUUGCUCUCUGUUCGUGUGUGUGUGUGUGUGUGUGUGUGUGUGUGUGUGUGUGUGUGUGUGUGUGUGUGUGUGUGUGUGUGUGUGUUGUGUGUGCGUUUGUGUUUGUUCAGCUUAAACGCAGCAUAUUGGCUAGUAGGUUGAUCAACCUCAAUGUAUGAUCCUGCCUAGAUGAUUUGCAUUCUAGCCUACCUCUUUUGAGAUCCAAAAAAAAAGGUGCCUGCUUAGUUUUUGUUUUCCCGUCUCCGUUACACUCUUUUCAGCUCCAGUUUUUAACCUGAGAGGCUUUGCUUCUCGGCUGUUUCUGGAUAGAAUGUUUUACCUUCAAUAUUUCUGUUCCCUCUCCCGGACUGACCUACCAGAUACAAAAAACAACCUAAACAACAAAAUACAAACCAUGCCCCAUCUGUGACUGGAGGCGUCGGUGAACAGACUCGACAGACUUGAACGCGAGGCCUUUCAAUGCUCAUACGUAUGCAUUGGUACAGCUCGUGUAACGGACGUCAGGAAAUACAGCGUUUCUUUGCCUCCAUUUUAAAUCAGACACCGUGGGAAGACAAAGGAGCCUAAAGUACUGUUCUGUACUUCACACCUUUGUGUGGGAUCGCAAUUGUUUUUGCAGAAACGCGCAUGAUAUAAAUGGUGGUAAAACCUGCUGGGUGGUUUGUAAUGCAUACAGUACUGUGUGCUCUGAUGUAUCUUACACACACACACACAUACUGUGUGUGUGUGUGUACAGCGUAUUGAAGGUGUGUGAGUAAUGAAAAUACUUGAAAUUGAAUAUGUUAGCCUAUACUGAGUAGUGUAGUACUAAUACCAAUGUUGAAUUCCCUUUCAAAUUAACUCCUAAUCUAUAAAUUUGUACCUCAAAGUGUAACUUAGAAAAAAAUUAAAAAUAAUGUUGAGAGAUUCAACGGUGGUGUGUGUGUGUGCGUGUGUGAGUGGGUGUGUGUGUGCGUGUGUGGGUGGGUGUGUGUGUGGGUGUGGGUGUAUGUGUGUAAUAUUAACUUUAUAUCUGUAUUCCACUCUUACCAAACCCUUUUAUACACACAGCGUUGAAUACCAAAUAUAACUAGUGCUCUUAGACUAGCUUGCUGCUUUAACACCCGUCUCUGAUUUUAGGCUAAUUUAUGUCUGAAUGUGCCAGCUAAUUCUGUUCAAUGUCCUAUUUGCGCUAUUUUAGCCUCCUAACGGUUCCGAGUUGAUAGAUUUACUUUGGGGUUGUUGUUUUAUUUUAAUGACAUUUAACAAUGAUUUAUUGAUUUGAUGAUCUUGAGAUGUGUGUGGUGGCUGGGUGAAGCAGCUUGUUAGCCAUGCUGUUUAAACAUGGAAAUAAUGCUACCGGUACAGUAGUUGUUCUAUUUUCAUACAGGUGUAAAAGUGUGCUUUAGGUCUUUCCCCCAUUCACUGGUCCAAGAAGCAGUUAUGGAAGUUAUUCCACAGAAGCUGGCCUCUAGCUUCCGGUGUUGUGUUUUGCUUCCGACGAUGCCUUUUCAGUUGUAUUAUUUCUGUCUGUUGGCUGUCUUUGUCAUGGACGUUGUGGUUAAUUGACAGUAGAAUACCGUACAUUUCCACAGUGUACUUGGUUGUAUUUAUUAACAUUUCCAAAUGAUAACAGGCCAGGGCUCGGUGGGUGGAGUGUUGUGUGUUUUUAUUCUGGGUUUUGUUUGUUUGUUUGGGUUUUUUAUUUUUUCUGAUGUAAUAACUUUACGAGCCAGCAAGUGGAUGUGACCUCUACCUCGUCUGAGCCAUUCUCAGUUCUGUUGCAUUUUUAUAUACAUUAUUAUUAUUAUUAUUAUUAUUAUUAUUAUUAUUAUUAUAUGAUUUGAAUUACCCUUCAUGUCAUGUCCACAAUAAAGACACACCUAAGCGGCACUUACUGACUAUGUGGUCUGUUUGUUUUUAAUUAAAGCUUGUGUUACUAUGGCCCUCCCUGCACUGGUUCACAGACAUCCUCUACGUAGAGUCUGUGGACAGACGCUUCUGUCCUACUGUACGCAGAAGUGAGGUUGAGAACGAUGGAAGCGGCCGAUCAAAUAGCUGCAGCUACAAGAAGUACUGGUUUCAAAAAACAAGAAGUAGUAGCUUUACAGGAAUCUCACAGACAAGGUUGAUUUGUUUUUGUAAAUGAGCUUUGAAAUAUAAUUUUUUCUUUAAACAACGAGUCACGAGCCAUCCAUUUAACUUUAGUCACAAAGCACCAAACAUGACCAUAGCCCUCUAAAAUCACACCAGAUUCCAAACUCUUUUGAUGAUCCCGGCUCUUGAUGCGCUGCCGCUUCCACGGCGGGCAAAGCACG
ensembl:lncRNA